AUUGAACGCUGGCGGCAUGCUUUACACAUGCAAGUCGAACGGCAGCGCGGGGGCAACCCUGGCGGCGAGUGGCGAACGGGUGAGUAAUGCAUCGGAACGUAUCCUGUAAUGGGGGAUAACGUAGCGAAAGUUACGCUAAUACCGCAUACGCUCGAGAGAGGAAAGUGGGGAUCGCAAGACCUCACGUUAUAGGAGCGGCCGAUGUCCGAUUAGCUAGUUGGUGGGGUAAAGGCCUACCAAGGCGACGAUCGGUAGCUGGUCUGAGAGGAUGAUCAGCCACACUGGGACUGAGACACGGCCCAGUCUCCUACGGGAGGCAGCAGUGGGGAAUUUUGGACAAUGGGCGAAAGCCUGAUCCAGCCAUGCCGCGUGCGGGAAGAAGG
rnacentral:rRNA from 1 species